AUGAAAACAUUUAUAACCUGUUUAUCCUUUUCUUCCUUCUUCAGGCCCUGUUCUGAAAAUAAACAUUGCUCUUAGUUCCAGGGCUCCUAAGAAUUCCCAAGUGUGAGAGUCCUGAAGGCCUUGGGCGGAGUUAAUGAUUGGCUUGAGGUCAGCUGGAUCUGUUUCCCCCAGGAAAGUGGGGAACCUCAAAUGAAAGGAGAGAUGGGGCUGUGGCUGUCAGCUGGAAAGUGCUGCUUGAAUUUGAGGUGCUGUGGGUCCUCAAAGCUGAUAACCAAGUGACCCCCUUGUGCCCGGAGGCCCUGCCUGCUACCCUGAGUGCCCUGCCUAGCACCAAGGAGCACCUUGCCAUUCUGCUGGUAUCCCUCUGAACUGCCAACAUCCCGGAAGUGAGGACUGGGUGAGGCAAGUGAAGGUUUAUUUUCUAACCUCCUUAAAUUAAAAAAAAAAUAGAUUUUAAUUUUUA
rnacentral:lncRNA from 1 species